GACGAACGCUGGCGGCGUGCUUAACACAUGCAAGUCGAACGGAAAGGCCCUGCUUUGGUGGGGUGCUCGAGUGGCGAACGGGUGAGUAACACGUGAGUAACCUGCCCUUGACGUUGGGAUAACUUCAGGAAACUGGGGCUAAUACCGGAUAGGAGCUCCUGCUGCAUGGUGGGGGUUGGAAAGUUUCGGCGGUUGGGGAUGGACUCGCGGCUUAUCAGCUUGUUGGUGGGGUAGUGGCUUACCAAGGCUUUGACGGGUAGCCGGCCUGAGAGGGUGACCGGCCACAUUGGGACUGAGAUACGGCCCAGACUCCUACGGGAGGCAGCAGUGGGGAAUAUUGCACAAUGGGCGGAAGCCUGAUGCAGCAACGCCGCGUGCGGGAUGACGGCCUUCGGGUUGUAAACCGCUUUCGCCUGUGACGAAGCGUGAGUGACGGUAAUGGGUAAAGAAGCACCGGCUAACUACGUG
rnacentral:rRNA from 1 species